rnacentral:sRNA from 2 species
AAAUACAUACAGCCGAGUUCCUUAUGUUUGAUCACAUGACAUGAGGAAGCCGGGGAACCGAGAACUUCCCUGGGGUGAACGGGAGGCAAGGGGCGCCAGAAUGGCGCCGGAGUUUCCUGCGGUGACCUCUAGCACCGAACCCGUCAGCUAACCCGGUAGGCGACUGGAAGAUAUGGA